UUUGCGGAGAGUUUGAUCCUGGCUCAGGAUGAACGCUGGCGGCGUGCCUAAUACAUGCAAGUCGAACGAGGAGCUCUUGUAUUCGUACGAGGGUUUCCUAGUGGCGAACGGGUGAGUAACGCGUUGGUGACCUGCCCCGAAGAGGGGGAUAACUCCGGGAAACUGGAGCUAAUACCCCAUGUGGUCAUAGAAGUUAGAGUUUUUAUGACUAAAGGUCUUGUACCGCUUCGGGAGGGGCCUGCGUCCCAUCAGCUAGUUG
rnacentral:rRNA from 1 species